rnacentral:rRNA from 1 species
AUUGAACGCUGGCGGCAGGCCUAACACAUGCAAGUCGAGCGGAUGAAGGGAGCUUGCUCCUGGACUCAGCGGCGGACGGGUGAGUAAUGCCUAGGAAUCUGCCUGGUAGUGGGGGAUAACGUCCGGAAACGGGCGCUAAUACCGCAUACGUCCUGAGGGAGAAAGUGGGGGAUCUUCGGACCUCACGCUAUCAGAUGAGCCUAGGUCGGAUUAGCUAGUUGGUGGGGUAAAGGCCUACCGAGGCGACGAUCCGUAACUGGUCUGAGAGGAUGAUCAGUCACACUGGAACUGAGACACGGUCCAGACUCCUACGGGAGGCAGCAGUGGGGAAUAUUGGACAAUGGGCGAAAGCCUGAUCCAGCCAUGCCGCGUGUGUGAAGAAGGUCUUCGGAUUGUAAAGCACUUUAAGUUGGGAGGAAGGGCAGUAAGUUAAUACCUUGCUGUUUUGACGUUACCAACAGAAUAAGCACCGGCUAACUUCGUG